rnacentral:rRNA from 1 species
UGGGGAAUAUUGCGCAAUGGGGGAAACCCUGACGCAGCGACGCCGCGUGUGGGAUGAAGGUCUUCGGAUUGUAAACCACUGUCGCGAGGGACGAAGCUCUGACGGUACCUCGAAAGGAAGCACCGGCUAACUCUGUGCCAGCAGCCGCGGUAAUACAGAGGGUGCGAGCGUUGUCCGGAAUCACUGGGCGUAAAGGGCGCGUAGGCGGCCCGGUAAGUAGGGGGUGAAAUCUCAUGGCUCAACUGUGAGGCUGCCUUCUAGACUGCCAGGCUUGAGCACAGUAGAGGCGAGUGGAAUUCCCGGUGUAGCGGUGGAAUGCGUAGAGAUCGGGAAGAACAUCGGUGGCGAAGGCGGCCACCUGGUUGGAUACUGACGCUGAGACGCGAAAGCGUGGGGAGCAAACAGGAUUAGAUACCCAAGUAGUCCCUGAGCGGGCUGGCAAGGCGCAU